rnacentral:rRNA from 1 species
GAUGAACGCUAGCGAUAGGCUUAACACAUGCAAGUCGAGGGACCGGCGCACGGGUGCGUAACGCGUAUGCACCCUGCCUGUAAUUAGGGAAUAACCCGGUGAAAGUCGGACUAAUACCCUAUCAUUACAGAUGGGCAUGCGUCCCAUUAGCUUGUUGGUAGGGUACCGGCUUACCAAGGCAACGAUGGGUAGGGGUACUGAGAGGUGGACCCACCACACUGGUACUGAGACACGGACCAGACUCCUACGGGAGGAAUCAGUGAUGAAGAAUGGUCAAUGGGCGAGAGCCUGAACCAGCCAAGGCGCGUGAAGGACGACAGUUUAUGGAUUGUAAACUUCUUUGGUAGAGGAAUAUGUACUCUACGAAUAAGUAUCGGCUAACUCCGUGCCAGCCGCCGCGGUAAUAC